rnacentral:rRNA from 1 species
GUAGGUGGCAAGCGUUAUCCGGAAUUAUUGGGCGUAAAGCGCGCGCAGGCGGUUUCUUAAGUCUGAUGUGAAAGCCCACGGCUCAACCGUGGAGGGUCAUUGGAAACUGGGGAACUUGAGUGCAGAAGAGAAAAGCGGAAUUCCACGUGUAGCGGUGAAAUGCGUAGAGAUGUGGAGGAACACCAGUGGCGAAGGCGGCUUUUUUGGCCUGUAACUGACGCUGAGGCGCGAAAGCGUGGGGAGCAAACAGGGAUUAGAUACCCUGGUAGUCCACGCCGUAAACGAUGAGUGCUAAGUGUUAGAGGGGUUUUCCGGCCCCCUUUUAGUGCUGCAGCUAACGCAUUAAGCACUCCGCCUGGGGAGUACGGUCGCAAGACUG